rnacentral:rRNA from 1 species
GACGAACGCUGGCGGCAUGCCUAAUACAUGCAAGUCGAGCGAACAGAUGAAGUGCUUGCACUUCUGACGUUAGCGGCGAACGGGUGAGUAACACGUAAGGAAUCUACCUAUAAGCGGGGGAUAACAUUCGGAAACGGGUGCUAAUACCGCAUAAUAUUUUCUUCCGCAUGGAAGAAGAUUGAAAGACGGCUCUGCUGUCACUUAUAGAUGACCUUGCGGUGCAUUAGUUAGUUGGUGGGGUAACGGUCUACCAAGACGAUGAUGCAUAGCCGACCUGAGAGGGUGAUCGGCCACAUUGGGACUGAGACACGGCCCAAACUCCUACGGGAGGCAGCAGUAGGGAAUCUUCCGCAAUGGGCGAAAGCCUGACGGAGCAAUGCCGCGUGAGUGAAGAAGGCCUUCGGGUCGUAAAACUCUGUUAUAAGAGAAGAACAAAUUGUAGAGUAACUGCUACAGUCUUGACGGUAUCUUAUCAGAAAGCCACGGCUAACUACGUGCCAGCCGCCGCCGUAA